CUUUCCUAUAUCUUGUGCUAUAUAUUACCAUACGUUUGACGGAUAGUUCAAGCAUCAAUAUUAUGGUAUAUCUGGAGGUGGAGGCAAUAUCUUAGCAUCUGAGCUCUUGCCAUUUUUAACAACGAACAGUUGUGCGGAGAUAUGAAAAUUUCGAGAAAUGGCUCUACAACAAUACAAUUCGAGCCAAAUAAGGGGUUUGGACUAUGAAUUGUCAUUUUGAGCGUCACAAAUCUUGCGGACAGGGAAUCAUUUUCAUUGUUAAAAAUGACAAGAUCUCAUAUGCUAAAAUGUUGCCUCCGCUUCAAGAUAUGCCUUGGUGUUGAUACUGGACCAACAAUCAAAUCUAGUCUAUGGGAGAUGUUGGAAAUUAUUCGAAGAUCUCAUUUAAUUUGUUAUCUAUUUAAAUUUAUUAUUUAUGGACAUUUUAGUUUGUAAGAUCACCUUAUAGAAGUUCAUUUGUUGAAUAGCUAGCCUUUUCCCAUAAA